ACUUGCAGGGAGGUGAGUCCGGGGUUGGACGCACAGAGAGUGGCUGGAAGUUUCCCGACUCGACUUGACCAGAUAGUGAAAUGACUGGUGACUCAACCUGUUGGUGAUUCGUUACAACACUGUACUAUAAGGAGAUGUAAAUAUAUGCAUGUGUGUGUGGGUAAAUUUCAGGAAUUUGGGCACCACACUCGAUAGAACUAAUUGUUGAAUGGAUUUGU
rnacentral:lncRNA from 1 species